rnacentral:rRNA from 1 species
ACGAACGCUGGCGGCAUGCCUAACCCAUGCCAGUCGCACGAGACCUUCGGGUCUAGUGGCGCACGGGUGCGUAACGCGUGGGAACCUGCCCUUAGGUUCGGAAUAACUCCCCGAAAGGGGUGCUAAUACCGGAUAAUGUCUUCGGACCAAAGAUUUAUCGCCUUUGGAUGGGCCCGCGUUGGAUUAGCAAGUUGGUAGGGUAAAAGCCUACCAAGGCGACGAUCCAUAGCUGGUCUGAGAGGAUGAUCAGCCACACUGGGACUGAGACACGGCCCAGACUCCUACGGGAGGCAGCAGUGGGGAAUAUUGGACAAUGGGCGAAAGCCUGAUCCAGCAAUGCCGCGUGAGUGAUGAAGGCCUUAGGGUUGUAAAGCUCUUUUACCCGGGAUGAUAAUGACAGUACCGGGAGAAUAAGCUCCGGCUAACUCCGUG